rnacentral:sRNA from 1 species
CCAGAGCNNCCCCCGCCCCUCGCGCCGGACGAGCGGCGGUAUUUGGUUUUUAAAAGAAAAUUACAACUCCCCACCCAAUGUGAGCGUUACCUAACUGUUGCCUCGGCGGGAUCUCUGCCCCGGGUGCGUCGCAGCCCCGGACCAAGGCGCCCGCCGGAGGACCAACCAAAACUCUUAUUGUAUACCCCCUCGCGGGUUUUUUUAUAAUCUGAGCCUUCUCGGCGCCUCUCGUAGGCGUUUCGAAAAUGAAUCAAAACUUUCAACAACGGAUCUCUUGGUUCUGGCAUCGAUGAAGAACGCAGCGAAAUGCGAUAAGUAAUGUGAAUUGCAGAAUUCAGUGAAUCAUCGAAUCUUUGAACGCACAUUGCGCCCGCCAGUAUUCUGGCGGGCAUGCCUGUCCGAGCGUCAUUUCAACCCUCGAACCCCUCCGGGGGGUCGGCGUUGGGGAUCGGCCCUGCCUUGGCGGUGGCCGUCUCCGAAAUACAGUGGCGGUCUCGCCGCAGCCUCUCCUGCGCAGUAGUUUGCACACUCGCAUCGGGAGCGCGGCGCGUCCACAGCCGUUAAACACCCAACUUCUGAAAUGUUGACCUCGGAUCAGGUAGGAAUACCCGCUGAACUUAAGCAUAUCAAUAAGCGGAGGAAAAGAAACCAACAGGGAUUGCCCUAGUAACGGCCGUCUUUUGAAUUUUAGAGGAACAAA